UGCUUUUUAACCAGUGUGGCAGUUGGAGUCAAAGAUUCCACAUGAGGAGGUCACGGAGUGCACUAGCAUUUGGUUAAGUGUCACUGCACCAGAAACAGUGGCCUAUGCAGCACUUUGAAAAUGAAACCCAGCGGCUCCCCAAACCCUCUUGCUCUUCCCAGCCCUAUGUAUGUUGAACUAUCCAGGACACAUAGAUCUUCUUCCUGAAAGAGUACAACUAAUUUGGAAUCCGUCAGGAGUAAUGCCUGAAGUUUCCAUAUUAUCUCACAGUAACUUGAUGCACAUUGAAGAGAUGAGCUUUGAAAGAGGACACAGCCACAGACUAACAAGUGAGCAGGAAAAAAUCUGAAUGGAUAUCACUCAAGAUGUGCUACGUGAAGUCAACCCUCAUAACUGUAGAAAGACAGCAACAACUGCCGCAUCCUCUACCGACAAUACUCUGUAUGUUUCAGGAGGGCCACAGGAUAAGUUAGAAACAAGACCACCAUGAUGCAUGCAUACAAAAACAGUCCACCUUCUCCUGUAGGGCUACCCAAGGCACAUCCUGUUCCACAGAGAUAUAUGGGUAGCAACAGGGCCCCACUUCACCUGAGGACCAUGGGAGUUUCUGGUCCCAUAAGGAGCACAAGAUCAGGCCCUGAGUUAGAAAAGUAAAUCUAAUUACACUAUCAGUUAUUUCCCACAUACAGUUGUGUCCUCUUCCCUGUGCUAUUUGCAUGUAAUUAAUUUUGUGAUAGAGUUGCAGCUUCUAUUACUGACAGGUGCCUCCAUGAAAAAGGACUUCUAAAAAUAUUGUAGUUCAGAGAAAGUUGCCUUCAUUUCCCAUUUAAGCCAAUGUUUUCUCAUUGACUUCAACGAUGGAUACAGACACUCAGCACCUCUGAAAAAUCAGUCUGUUUUUUUAGGGGCUUAAAUAUCAAUAUGUAUAUGAAUCCAGGCUUUCCCAGCAGCUUAAAGUUAGCAGCAACCAAGAGAAUGAGGAAGAAGGAAGGCAACCUAUAUUUCCUCAGCAAGAUAACUGAAAGAGCUGUAUUUUCUACCAAUCUAGAGAAAUUUUUAAGAUCAUAGAAUCAUAGAUCCUGUCAACCUGCUUAAGCCCCCAGAUUUAUCUUCUUAAAGAAAACUAGACCCUAUGGUUUCCAAUGAGAAAUGCUUUUAGAUAGAUAUAUAAAAUCUAAAAGCUUCGUAACCUUCCUACGUUAACAAAGCUUUAACGUAGGAAGGAAUCCUGCAAACCCUUUACACAUGGUGCUCACAUCAAGUCAAGAAGACUUCAAGUUGGAGGGGCUUGACCCUAAGUAAGAAUCUGACAAAAGGAAUCCUUGGGCAAUGCCACAUGAGAUUUACCUUUCUUUUCACAUGAUAAAUGUUUGAGCUUGAGCAGGAUGGCUGUCCCCCUUUAAAAACUACAUGAAAAAUUAAGAAAGUAAAGAUGCCUAAAGUAAAACUAAACUAUCAGAGAAAGAAUCUGAUGCAUAGUUAAGCUACACUGGAACACUGGUGUUUGUUUUGUAUCCAGUUUCCAACUGCCAUCUCUUAUAAAUAAGACAUGAGACAGCAAACAAACCUACAUAAUACCAACUGGUACUGCAAGACAACAGGGCAUUUUUUUCCCUGCCAAACAGUUAUUUUAUUGUGCACUCCCGGGUAA